rnacentral:rRNA from 1 species
GGGGGAAACCCUGAUGCAGCGACGCCGCGUGGAGGAAGAAGGUUUUCGGAUUGUAAACUCCUGUCGUUAGGGACGAUAAUGACGGUACCUAACAAGAAAGCACCGGCUAACUACGUGCCAGCAGCCGCGGUAAAACGUAGGGUGCAAGCGUUGUCCGGAAUUACUGGGUGUAAAGGGAGCGCAGGCGGACCGGCAAGUUGGAAGUGAAAACUAUGGGCUCAACCCAUAAAUUGCUUUCAAAACUGCUGGCCUUGAGUAGUGCAGAGGUAGGUGGAAUUCCCGGUGUAGCGGUGGAAUGCGUAGAUAUCGGGAGGAACACCAGUGGCGAAGGCGACCUACUGGGCACCAACUGACGCUGAGGCUCGAAAGCAUGGGUAGCAAACAGGAUUAGAUACCCUGGUAGUCCAUGCCGUAAACGAUGAUAACGGGGUGUUGGAGGAUUGACCCCUUCAGUGCCGC